UCUACUGUAGUCAACUAUGACGUAGGAUUUAAGAUCCUAAGGUAUAACAAAUCUUUAGAA
rnacentral:tRNA from 1 species